CGACCAAAAAAGGGACCCCUCUAAUUUCCUCCAAACUGGUAGAACCCUACAACUCUAGGUACAAGUGUGAACCUCCAGCUGGGUUUUCAAUGGUAACUGUACUUUUUUCCUUUGAAUUCAACGGAUUUUAGUUGCCUUCUCUUGUAAGUCUUGGAUGGGGAUCAAAAGGAAAGGGGGAAUUUUGAAUUUUCUGAACGGUCAUGUUUUCAUUUGGGUUCUACAAAUAAAAACCCUUCUCUUCAUUUUUUUGAGAGGAGAGGUUCAGAGGUGAAAAAAUGGGUUUUCAUACCCACAAUAGGGUUUUUGACAACCCUCAAGAGCUUGAACACUUAGAAGCUCGGCAAAAGCUUGAAUUUCGAGGAAAUUCGAGCUCAUACUUUAAUUUUUGGAAGUUGUUUCCAUUCGUCGGAAAUCGAUUCGGGUGGAAAGGUGUUCGUCGUCUCUCGUCGCUCCCUUCGCUGCUCGUCAAAAAGAUUGUGUUCUAGAGAUUUCUUCCAGAUUACAUCUCUAGCUUGAAGCUAGUUUGCUCGAUCAGAUCCGAGGGUGAGCUUCUAUCCAUGCCAUGCCACCUGAAGAUCUCUCUUUCCAGAUGUCUACUUUCAUUCCAAACAUUAUUUGUUAUAUUUGAGAUAUACUUCAUUCUUUAGACAUUAUUGGUUAGAGUCCUUGUAUGAUGACUUUCAGAUUUUGGGGGUGUAAUACUUAAGACUUCCGCACUUAUAUUAUCUAUUAAUUAUGACUUGUUUAUUUAUUCAUUCAUUCACUUAUCUAUUAACUGUUAAUAAAUGAUUAAAGAAGUUGAAAUUGGCUAAAGAUUAAUAGGUUAACGGGUAAGGGUUCGCCUACUAGUGAUAAUAAGGUAGGUGCCUGCACGAUCGGUAAUUAGGGUCGUGACACUACUGCUUGUUGUUGAUUUUUGGGUCACAUUGUGUUGGGUGAUUUAGAACAUACAGGAAGGCAUCGCGAUUUUGGAUAUUGCAGGAGUAUUAAGGUUGACGAGGUUAAGGGUGUUGUUCGUAGGAUGCGCAGGGGAAGAGCGACCGGACCUGACGAGAUUCCGGGGGAAUUCUGGAAGAGCGCGGGCCCGGCAGGUUUGGAGUGACUGACUAGGUUGUUUAAUGUCAUCUUUAAGACGGCAUUGAUGCCCGAAGAAUGAAGGGUGAGUGUAAUGAUCCCUCUAUACAAGAAUAAGGGAGAUAUCCAGAGUUGCAACAACUAUAGAGGUAUCAAGCUGCUAAGCCAUACUAUGAAAGUGUGGGAAAGGGUGGUGGAGAUGAGGGUGAGGAGAGGUGUGUCUAUUUCAGAAAACCAGUUCGGAUUCAUGCCGGGACGUUCAACUACAGAAGCCAUCCAUCUUAUGAGAAGGUUGGUGGAGCAGUAUAGGGAGAGGAAGAGGGACUUACACAUGGUAUUCGUCGACCUAGAAAAGGCUUAUGACAAA